rnacentral:rRNA from 1 species
AUUGAACGCUGGCGGCAUGCCUUACACAUGCAAGUCGAACGGCAGCACGGACUUCGGUCUGGUGGCGAGUGGCGAACGGGUGAGUAAUGUAUCGGAACGUACCUUUCAGUGGGGGAUAACGUAGCGAAAGUUACGCUAAUACCGCAUAUUCUGUGAGCAGGAAAGCAGGGGAUCGCAAGACCUUGCGCUGAUUGAGCGGCCGAUAUCAGAUUAGCUAGUUGGUGGGGUAACGGCCUACCAAGGCAACGAUCUGUAGCGGGUCUGAGAGGAUGAUCGGCCACACUGGAAAUGAGCCACGGUCCAGACUCCUACGGGAGGCAGCAGUGGGGAAUUUUGGACAAUGGGGGCAACCCUGAUCCAGCCAUGCCGCGUGAGUGAAGAAGGCCUUCGGGUUGUAAAGCUCUUUCGGCCGGGAAGAGAUCGCAUCAGCUAAUACCUGGUGUGGAUGACGUUACCGGAAUAGGAAGCACCUGCUAACUACUUGCCAGCCGCCGCCGUAA